ACGGGAGGCAGCAGUGGGGAAUAUUGGACAAUGGGGGAAACCCUGAUCCAGCGACGCCGCGUGGGUGAAGAAGGCCUGCGGGUUGUAAAGCCCUUUCAGUGGGGAAGAAAAGCCUCGAGUUAAUACCUCGGGGUCUUGACGUAACCCAUAGAAGAAGCACCGGCUAACUCUGUGCCAGCAGCCGCGGUAAUACAGAGGGUGCGAGCGUUAAUCGGAAUUACUGGGCGUAAAGCGCGCGUAGGCGGCUUUGCAAGUCGGGUGUGAAAUCCCCAGGCUUAACCUGGGAACUGCAUUCGAGACUGCAUUGCUAGAGUAUGGGAGAGGGAAGUGGAAUUUCAGGUGUAGCGGUGAAAUGCGUAGAUAUCUGAAGGAACAUCAGUGGCGAAAGCGACUUCCUGGACCAAUACUGACGCUCAUGUGCGAAAGCGUGGGGAGCAAACAGGAUUAGAUACCCUGGUA
rnacentral:rRNA from 1 species